rnacentral:rRNA from 1 species
ACUCAAAUGAAUUGACGGGGACCCGCACAACCAGUGGAGCAUGUGGUUUAAUUCGAGACGAACCGAAGAACCUUACCGGGGUUUGACAUGUUAGCUGCACGUCGCCAGAGAUGGUGAUUUCUUCGAGAGUGCUAACACAGGUGUUGCAUGGCUGUCGUCAGUUCGUGCCGUGGGGUGUUCCCUUCAGUGGGGUAACGAACGCAACCCCUGCCGUAUGUUAAAUUUUCUCAUACGGGACUAUCCAAUUUAUUUGGGAGGAAGUGGGGAUGAUGUCAAGUCAGCAUGGCCCUUAUGUCCCGGGCGACACACAUGCUACAAUGGCGCUUAACAAUGGGUUGCCAAGCCGUAAGGCGGAGCUAAUCCCUGAAAAAGCGUCUCAGUUGGGAUUGAGGGCUGCAACUCGCCCUCAUGAACGCGGAAUUGGUAGUAAUCGCGAAUCAGCCAAGUCGCGGUGAAUACGUUCUCGGGUCUUGUACACACCGCCCGU